rnacentral:lncRNA from 1 species
AGAAAGAAAAGUCUGAUGUUUUAAGCUCCAAAAUCCUCUAUAACUUACACUUAACACUAUGAAAAAUUAAAACCAAUGGAGGUUUUUUAUAUGUUUCUUCGUUUGAGCAGGUUCGGAACAUUGGAUUCAGGAUUUUCAAAUUCGUUUCCAUUUAAAAACCUUCUAAAACAAUGCUUUCCUGUUUUUUUAAAGCUUUACUCUGGUGAAAAUCGUUUUCAAGGCAAAACAUAAAAUUUCAAAAGCUAACCCCCUAUAAACUGGUAGAAAGCACAUAACAAUAUCCAACUUCACAAAUAAUAUCCAAAUAUGAAUUUCAUUCAUAUGUAAUUCCCAAACAUCCCUAGAGCACCUAAAAAAUGUAUCUAAGUAUGAAACACAACGAAAUAUUAAAAUCGUGCAAUAAUUGUGCGAAUGGUUUUUAUGCCCAGAAUUGCUCAGAAACAAAGUCCGAUGUUUUAAGCUGCAAAAUCCUUUUGUAACUUUCACUUAACACUAUGAAAAAUUAACACCAACGCAAGUUUUACCAAGUUUCUCUGUUUGAGUGAGUUUAAAACAUUGGAUUCAAGAUAUUCAAAUUCAUUUCCAUUUUAAAAACCCUGCUAAAACAAUGCUUUCAUAUUUUAAAGCUUGACUCCAGUGAAAAUCAUUUUCAAAGGAAAACAUAAAGUUUCAAAAGCAUUAGGCUUCGAGUGCUCCCCCUAUAAACUGCUGAAACAAUUUAGCACACAUUAAGCACCAAUAACAACUUCAUAAAUAAUAUCCAAAUAUGAAGAUCAUUCCUCAAAAUCCUUAGAGCACCUAAAAACGUAUCUAAAAGCAAAUAAGUAUGAAACACAGCGAAAAAUUAAAAUCGUGCGAUAAUUGUGCGAAUGGUUUCUAUGCCCAGAAUUGUUCAAACCAAAGCCUGAUGUUGUGAACUUCAAAAUCCUUUGUAUAACUUACACUUAACACUAUGAAAAACAACAAAAAAUUAAAAUCACGCGAAAAUUGUUCGAAUGUUUUUUUAUGCCCAGAAUUGUUCGAAAACGAAGUCUGAUAUUUUGAGCUUCAAAAUCCUUUCUAAGUUACGCUUAACACUGUGAAAAAUUAAAAACCAAUGCUAGUUUUACCUUGUUUCAUUGUUUGAGCAAGUUUAAAACAUCGAUUCAAUAUAUUCAAAUUCAUUUCCAUUUAAAAAACCUUCUAAAACAAUUCUUUCAUGUUUUUAAAAGCUGGACUAUAGAGAAAAUCAUAUUCGAAGAAAAACAUAAAAUUUCAAAAGCGUUGGGCUUUUAACUGCUAAAACAAGUUAGCAGACAACUAAUCACAUCAAGCGCCAAUAACAACUUCACAAAUAAUAUCCAAAUAUCAAGAUCAUUCAUAUGUAAUUCCUCAACUCCUUAGAGCGCCUAAAUUCGCAUCUAAAAGCAAAUAAGUAUGAAACACAACGAAAUAUUAAAAUCGUGCAAUAAUUGUGCGAAUGGUUUUUAUGCCCAAAAUCGUUCAGAAAGAAAAGUCUGAUGUUUUAAGCUCCAAAAUCCUCUAUAACUUACACUUAACACUAUGAAAAAUUAAAACCAAUGGAGGUUUUUUAUAUGUUUCUUCGUUUGAGCAGGUUCGGAACAUUGGAUUCAGGAUUUUCAAAUUCGUUUCCAUUUAAAAACCUUCUAAAACAAUGCUUUCCUGUUUUUUUAAAGCUUUACUCUGGUGAAAAUCGUUUUCAAGGCAAAACAUAAAAUUUCAAAAGCUAACCCCCUAUAAACUGGUAGAAAGCAC